rnacentral:rRNA from 1 species
GGCCAAGUUAGUAAGGGCACACGGUGGAUGCCUAGGUACCAGGAGCCGAUGAAGGACGUAGGAGGCUGCGAUAAGCCUCGGGGAGCUGCCAACCGAGCUGUGAUCCGGGGAUGUCCGAAUGGGGAAACCCGGCUGGGGUAAUGCCCAGUCACUUGCGCCUGAAUAUAUAGGGCGCUUAGAGGUAACGUGGGGAAGUGAAACAUCUCAGUACCCACAGGAAGAGAAAACAAAAGUGAUUCCGUAAGUAGUGGUGAGCGAAAGCGGAACAGGCUAAACCGGUCUCGUGUGAUAGCCGCCAGGCGUUGCGAGAUCGGGGUCGUGGGACGUGACAGAGGACUCUGGCGAGUUCUCAAGAAGUAAGAAAUGUUCGUCGUAGUCAAAGGCUUUGGGAAGAGCCAGCAUAGAGGGUAAUACUCCCGUAGACGAAACGUCGGACACUUCUGUCGCGUAUCCCAAGUAACACGGGGCCCGAGAAAUCCCGUGUGAAUCUGGCGGGACCACCCGCUAAGCCUAAAUACUCCCUGGUGACCGAUAGCGGACAAGUACCGUGAGGGAAAGGUGAAAAGUACCCCGGGAGGGGAGUGAAAUAGAACCUGAAACCGUGUGCUUACAAGCCGUGGGAGCGUCGGGAUCUUCGGAUCCUCGUGACCGCGUGCCUUUUGAAGAAUGAGCCUGCGAGUUAGUGGUGCGUGGCAAGGUUAACCCGUGUGGGGAAGCCGUAGCGAAAGCGAGUCCUAAUAGGGCGAUUCAGUCGCGUGCUCUAGACCCGAAGCGGAGUGAUCUACCCAUGGCCAGGGUGAAGCGCGAGUAAGACCGCGUGGAGGCCCGAACCCACCAAUGUUGAAAAAUUGGGGGAUGAGCUGUGGGUAGGGGUGAAAGGCCAAUCAAACUCCGUGAUAGCUGGUUCUCCCCGAAAUGCAUUUAGGUGCAGCGUCGCGCGUUUCUUGCCGGAGGUAGAGCACUGGAUGGUCUAAGGGGCCUAAAAGUCUACUGAAAUCAGCCAAACUCCGAAUGCCGGUAAGUUAGAGCGCGGCAGUGAGACUGCGGGGGAUAAGCUUCGUAGUCGAAAGGGAAACAGCCCAGAUCACCGAUUAAGGCCCCCAAGCGUGUGCUAAGUGGAAAAGGAUGUGGAGUCGCCCAGACAACCAGGAGGUUGGCUCAGAAGCAGCCACCCUUGAAAGAGUGCGUAAUAGCUCACUGGUCAAGUGAUUCCGCGCCGACAAUGUAGCGGGGCUCAAGCACACCGCCGAAAUCGUGACAUUGACGCUUUGCCCGGCUUCCAGGAUCCGUCCUGGUGGUCCAGGCGCGUUGAUGGGUAGGGGAGCGUCGUGUGGCGAGAGAAGCGGCGGGGUGACCCAGCCGUGGACGCCACACGAGUGAGAAUGCAGGCAUGAGUAGCGAAAGACGGGUGAGAAACCCGUCCGCCGAAUGACCAAGGGUUCCAGGGGCAGGCUAGUCCGCCCUGGGUAAGUCGGGACCUAAGGCGAGGCCGACAGGCGUAGUCGAUGGACAACGGGUUGAUAUUCCCGUACCGGUGACAUUACGACCCUGCCGAGCCCGAGGAUGCUAAGCGCAGGAAACCGGAACCUCUUCGGAGGCGAUGGUGGGCAGCGCGACCCAAUCCGGUAGUAGGCAAGCGAAGGGGUGACGCAGGAGGGCAGUCCAACCGCGGCGAUGGUUGACCGCGGGCAAGGUUGUAGGGCGAGACAUAGGCAAAUCCGUGUCUCACAAGCCUGAGAACCGAUACCGAGCCGAACUAGGCGAAGUGGAUGAUCCCAUGCUGCCGAGAAAAGCCUCUAGCGAGUAAUGUAACCGCCCGUACCCCAAACCGACACAGGUGGUCAGGUAGAGAAUACCAAGGCGAUCGAGAAAACCGUGGUUAAGGAACUCGGCAAAAUGCCCCCGUAACUUAGGGAUAAGGGGGGCCAUUUCCGGUGUAGGGACUUGCUCCCGAAGCUGGAGGUGGCCGCAGAGACUAGGCUGAAGCGACUGUUUAUCAAAAACACAGGUCCGUGCGAAGUCGCAAGACGCAGUAUACGGACUGACGCCUGCCCGGUGCUGGAACGUUAAGGGGACGGGUUAGCGCGCAAGCGCGAAGCUCUGAACUUAAGCGCCAGUAAACGGCGGUGGUAACUAUAACCAUCCUAAGGUAGGAAAUCCUUGAGGGUCGUGCCUCAAGAUCUGCCCGUUGCGGGAGUGAUCCCGUAACUGCAGCUGGCUAUAUGCUGGGAACACCGUGCAUCCGGCACUACCAACACUGUCGGACCUAGAGACUAGGUUCGAGCGUGGAGGUGACAAUGUGUCCGGUGCGGUCAAUCAGCAGGAAAGGCCAGGAUUCGAGCAGUGGGUCGUCGGGUUCGUCGACGGGCAACCGUUGGUGUACCAAGCUCACUUACGCGGUAAGAAGCCGUCUCGUUUCUUGGAAUCCUCAGAGGCCAUACGCCAGCCACCUCGUUCGGCAACGAGGUGAAGAUAUGGUCCUAGCCCUAUGGCGACAUAGGGAUUCGCUAGAGCGAAAUUCCUUGUCGGGUAAGUUCCGACCUGCACGAAUGGCGUAACGACUUCAGCGCUGUCUCAACCGCGGACUCGGCGAAAUUGCACUACGAGUAAAGAUGCUCGUUACGCGCGGCAGGACGGAAAGACCCCGGGACCUUUACUAUAGCUUGGUAUUGGUGGUCGGUUCGGUUUGUGUAGGAUAGGUGGGAGACUGUGAAGCGGUGACGCCAGUUACCGUGGAGUCAAUGUUGAAAUACCACUCUGAUCGUAUUGGCUGUCUAACCUAGGUCCGUAAUCCGGAUCAGGGACAGUGCCUGGUGGGUAGUUUAACUGGGGCGGUUGCCUCCAAAAGAGUAACGGAGGCGCUCAAAGGUUCCCUCAGCCUGGUUGGCAAUCAGGUGUCGAGUGCAAGUACACAAGGGAGCUUGACUGUGAGACUGACAGGUCGAGCAGGGACGAAAGUCGGAACUAGUGAUCCGGCGCUGGCAUGUGGAAGCGGCGUCGCUCAACGGAUAAAAGGUACCCCGGGGAUAACAGGCUAAUCUUGCCCAAGAGUCCAUAUCGACGGCAUGGUUUGGCACCUCGAUGUCGGCUCGUCGCAUCCUGGGGCUGGAGUAGGUCCCAAGGGUUGGGCUGUUCGCCCAUUAAAGCGGCACGCGAGCUGGGUUCAGAACGUCGUGAGACAGUUCGGUCCCUAUCCGCCGCGCGCGUAGGAGUCUUGAGAAGGGCUGUCCCUAGUACGAGAGGACCGGGACGGACGAACCUCUGGUGUGCCAGUUGUCCUGCCAAGGGCAUGGCUGGUUGGCUACGUUCGGGAGGGAUAACCGCUGAAAGCAUCUAAGCGGGAAGCCUGCUUCAAGAUGAGGACUCCCACAGGGUUGACCUGGUAAGGCCCCCAGUAGACGACUGGGUUGAUAGGCCGGAGGUGGAAGCGCGGUAACGCGCGGAGCUGACCGGUACUAAUAGGCCGAGGACUUGUCCAC